rnacentral:rRNA from 1 species
GUUUUCGCCCCUUAGUUGCUGCAACUAACGCAUUAAGCACUCCGCCUGGGGAGUACGGGUCGGCAGACUGAAACUUCAAAAGGAAUUGUACGGGGGCCCGCACCAGCGGUUGGAGCAUGUGGUUUAAUUCGAAGCAACGCGGGAGGGGGCUUACCAGGUCUUGACAUCCUCUGACAACCUAGAGAUAGGGCUUUUCCUUCGGGGACAGAGUGACAGGUGGUGCAUGGUUGUCGUCAGCUCGUGUCGUGAGAUGUUGGGUUAAGUCCCGCAACGAGCGCAACCCUUGAUCUUAGUUGCCAGCAUUUAGUUGGGCACUCUAAGGUGACUGCCGGUGACAAACCGGAGGAAGGUGGGGAUGACGUCAAAUCAUCAUGCCCCUUAUGACCUGGGCUACACACGUGCUACAAUGGACAGAACAAAGGGCUGCAAGCCGCAAGGUUUAGCCAAUCCCAUAAAUCUGUUCUCAGUUCGGAUCGCAGUCUGCAACUCGACUGCGUGAAGCUGGAAUCGCUAGUAAUCGCGGAUCAGCAUGCCGCGGUGAAUACGUUCCCGGGCCUUGUACACCCGCCCGUCACACCACGAGAGUUUGCAACACCCGAAGUC